rnacentral:ncRNA from 1 species
CAACCUCAACUCAUAUGGGACUACCCCCUGAAUUUAAGCAUAUUAAUUAGGGGAGGAAAAGAAACUAACAAGGAUUUUCUUAGUAGCGGCGAGCGAAAAGAAAUCAGUUCAGCACUAAGUCACUUUGUCUAUAUGGGAAAUGUGAGAUGCAGUGGACGGAACAUCAACAUUCUAGUAUGAAAAGUUAACGAUUUAAGUCCUUCUUAAAUGAAGGCAUUUACCCAUAAAGGGGGGCAGGGCCGUAUAACGUUAAUGAUUACUAAAUGGGGGUUCCAAAGAAUCCUGGUGCCUGAUAGUGCAACACUAAGUGGGUGGGAAACUCCAUCCAAAACUAAAUAUAACCAUGAAAACGAUAGUAAACCAGUACCGUGAGGGAAAGUUGAAAAGAACUCUGAAUUAAAAAGUAAAUUAUACGUGAAACUGCUUAGAAGGUAAGCCCGAUGAACCUGAAUAUUCCUUAUGGAAAAUUCCUUCAUAAAAAUGGUAAUUUUUAAACCAUAAUAAUAAAAAAAUGUGCGUUUUUUUCCAAUAAAAGGGAUUGGAAACUUUUUACCAAAAAUAUAUACAAAAAUUUUUGCGAAAUUCCUUUUUUAAAUUUUUUCCUGGGGUAUUUAAACCAAAAAAAAAAAAAAAAAAUUUUUAAA